CAACUGGAACUGAAACCCAGGACUCCGUCUCUUGCCAGUGAAAGUUAUGUUAGGAAGCAGUGAGGGGUCUAAAGCAGUAUGAAAGGCAAAGAGAAAAGGAAGGAAGACUGUACACAGAGAAUAAAUAACUUGGCCAAGCCAUUCAGCUAGGAAGUUGUAGAUCCUAAAUUAAGAGUUCAAGGUCUUAAUGGCUACUCUAUGCGGCCUCUCAUAGUCUUUUCAAGGGUUUUGGAGAAGAAUAAAAGAUCAGUCAUCCACAGAUGUUUGAGUGGUUACAAUGUGCCAGCCUCCCUUCUAGGUACUGGAGAUAAAGUGGGACAAGAGAGGUGAGGUCUGGACCCUUGGCACUUUCACGAUAAAAUACACAGUUGCUUGUGAUACAUCAGUAUCCUCACUCACCCCCAACUCCAGAGGCUGAAACUAACUCUCCUCCUCCCUCUUCCAACUGCUGAGGAAGAUGAGUCAAUGGUGUUACUGGACCCUGUGAACUGAUGCUGUGAAGAGAGGCCAUUUAACACGGACUACGGGGAAUGGUGCCACAGGGGGCUCAGUGCUGCCCUUCACUCUCAGCAUUUUGCUCACUCAGCAUUGGUAAGCCACAUCAGCCUCGGUGAAGGAAGUCUGGAGAGUUAAGCCUGUGCUUCAUCUCCAUGCCAGCACCAUGGCACUCAUUGUACAUUCAGCAAGCCCCAAGGAAGCUGGCAGGAGGCUGGCUGACAUCUACGGGACAGGUCAAUUUGUUCUCUGGAGGGCACUCCAUGAGACGCAAAUAUCUUCACACCCUGUGCCCAUUUCAAGAGACUCUCUCACAUGCCUCCCCCACCUUGACCUCUGUGUCACCAGUCUUUCAAUCUUGUUUUUUCCAAAUCCUUAAGGUAGCAGCUGGCCAACACAUUAGCCACCACUGAUGAGUCAGUGUAGAUCUUACAUUGGGCCAUCUCUUUUUUCUUGCAAAAUAGAAAAGCAGAUGUUCUGCUCAAAGUUCUGUUUGUCAGUAAGAUUUCCCUUUCUGCUGUGUUUCAGGACAUCCCUGGGAGGGACUCUGAUGCAGCAGCCAUCUACUUAUUGCUAGUGCCAGCUUACUUUGCAUAACAUUGACUCCUUUCCCUCAUCUGUUGCCUAGUUGUAGGAAACUCCUUGUGAAGCUAUAGGUGUGCACUGAGGGAGAGACAUUGAGUCAAUGGGAGCAGGCAUCAUAGAGUCUAAGUUUUCUGCUAGUCUGAGUUUCUUGUGCCUUGUGGACCUGGUGGGCUUAUCUCCUUUAUCAUAUAGAUACAAUUUUCGCUUAAUAAUAGCAUGCUCCUGCAAAUGCCCAAUUUUAUCAUGUGGUAGAUUAGGCAACACUCAGUUUAUUAGGGUAGCUAGGUUGUGCAGUUACUUGAUGUUAUGGAUUGAAUUGUGUCCCUCCAAAAGAUAUAUUAGAAUCCCAACCUUUAGGACUUCAGAGUGUGACAUUAUUUGAAUAUAGGGUCUUUACAGAGUUAAUCAAUUUUUUUGAAUCUUAUAUAGCUUUUAUUUCAG
rnacentral:lncRNA from 1 species